CGUUUUUUACAAAACAUGUUCUGGUGUAAUUCUAUAUUAGAUCUAACCUGCUCAAUGAAACGUUGUUUUAAAUGGCCGCGGUAUUUUGACCGUGCGAAGGUAGCAUAAUCAUUUGUCUUUUAAUUGGAGGCUUGUAUGAAUGGUUGGAUGAAGGAGUGGCUUUCUUUAUAUUAUGGAAUUGAAUUUAACUUUUAAGUCAAAAGGCUUAGAUUUUUAAAUGGGACGAGAAGACCCUAUAGAAUUUUAUUUUUAUAUGAUUAAUUUAUUGUUUUGGUUAAUAUUUUAUUUAAUUAUUUUAAAAAUUUUGUUGGGGUGACAGUAAGAUUUAUUUAACUCUUAUAAUUAAUUUUUUUAUUAAUUAGUAUAUAUUAGAUCCUUAAUUUAGGAUAAUUAGAUUAAAUUACCUUAGGGAUAACAGCGUAAUUCUACUGGAGAGUUCUUAUUGAUAGUGGGGUUUGCGACCUCGAUGUUGGAUUAAAAUAAGAUUUGAGUGCAGAAGCUUAAUUUCUAGGUCUGUUCGACCUUUAAUUUUUUACAUGAUCGGUUUUCCACCCGG
rnacentral:rRNA from 1 species